rnacentral:rRNA from 1 species
AUUGAACGCUGGCGGCAUGCCUUACACAUGCAAGUCGAACGGUAACAGGUCUUCGGAUGCUGACGAGUGGCGAACGGGUGAGUAAUACAUCGGAACGUGCCUAGUAGUGGGGGAUAACUACUCGAAAGAGUGGCUAAUACCGCAUGAGAUCUACGGAUGAAAGCAGGGGAUCGCAAGACCUUGUGCUACUAGAGCGGCCGAUGGCAGAUUAGUGGGUUGGUGGGAUAAAACCUUACCAAGCCGACGACCUGUAGCUGGUCUGAGAGGACGAUCAGCCACACUGGGACUGAGACACGGCCCAGACUCCUACGGGAGGCAGCAGUGGGGAAUUUUGGACAAUGGGCGCAAGCCUGAUCCAGCAAUGCCGCGUGCAGGAUGAAGGCCUUCGGGUUGUAAACUGCUUUUGUACGGAACGAAAAGCCCCGGGUUAAUACCCUGGUGUCAUGACGGUACCGUAAGAAUAAGCACCGGCUAACUACGAGCCAGCAGCCGCCGUAA